rnacentral:lncRNA from 1 species
CACAAAACUUUUGCUCCACGAGCUGAAGCAUAAGCACCCAACCUUAUAAAAAGCACACUACAUUCUCUCCAAUUCUGACAAGCAAUCUUUUGGUAGAGGAAAGACCACCGCCCAAAAAUUGAUGAUUACAAUCAUACUGAUUUUUUAAGCUGCAUCCGGCCAGCAAAGGAAAGAUGUUUGACCUGCCAAGAGGAAAUUCUUCGUUUAAUCCUAUCAAGAAAAGAUUGAUAAUCCUCGGGCUUCAUUUUAUGAGGCAAAAAUGAGAGACCGAGGUAUCUCAUUGGCAAAUUACCAUGAAAGAGGCCAUACCGAUCCGAGAGGCUUUGGGUUAAAGAGCCAUUACCGCCAUCCAAAAACAUAGCAUAUUUCCUC